GGCCCCGCGUCUCGUCAGCGCUAGUAGGCAGUAGCGCUAGCUAAUAGAGUCCCAUGUUGUUUCCUAUUCAUGUUCUCGGGCGGGCGCACCUGCAAGGAAUUAGCAAUUACGUCAAACGCAGGUUGGCCGCCUUGCUUCGUCACGGGGUCGGCACACGGCGGGCUCUUGACCGGACAGCGGGCGAAUGACGGAAAGCGAUUCAACCUGGCGUCUGGAGCAGCCCCAUGCUGCACAACUUGGCCUUUUCACAUGUUCAAAAGCUAAAGAGGAAGUGCUGCGGACACACGGCAUCAGCUCAAAGUUGGGAGAAGUCAUGGUGCCCUGGACUCAUCCUGGCUGACUUGGCAGUACGAGGAUACAGGGGCUCAUUGUUCUUCCACCAUCGAACCCUGCCUGACUCGCCAAGGAGAGGCUGCUUGAAUGCGGUGGUGACACUUCAAAUGGGUUAGCAUGUGUUAUGAGAGUAGCAUUUGUACGUGUGUGGCCCUUUAAUAUGUGACAGCAUGUGAGGUGAGUGUGUGAGCGAGCGGUAGUGAGUGUGGGGAGUGGCUAGUGUUUUGUUGGAUUGGC